UCCUUUCAUGUAAGAAUUACCAGAAGGAACACUAGAUUUUUUCAGUUCAACCUGCCUAUCAGAUACCAAGGAUGAGCUGUUCAGGUCUGACCCGCUGCCAUUGCUCUUACCUAAAUCAGAGUAGGAUAUCUUUGCUGAUUGAGGGAGAGAAGGCAUAUGGAAAUGUCUAGACUCAGCCUUCUUUAGGUACGCGUUUUGCUUCACAUGAUUCUGACCUCCUUGGAGACCAAAUAUAUCAACAUCCUCUCGAUUUUCUUCAUCUAUCACACCAUUUGUUGACAAGUUCAUGCCAGACAAAGCAGCUGCCAAGUCUGUAGACUCACCUAUGGUAGAUGAAACACCAUUGAAUGAGUUUGAACCAGCAAUACCUCUAUUUUC
rnacentral:misc_RNA from 1 species